rnacentral:rRNA from 1 species
GAUGAACGCUGACAGAAUGCUUAACACAUGCAAGUCUUUGGCGAAGCUGUGCUCGCACAGCCUAGCCAAGGCGGACGGGUGAGUAACGCGUAAGGAACUUGCCCUGCAGUCAGGGAUAACAGACGGAAACGACUGAUAAGACCUGGUAAAGUCAGGCGGACUCAUGUCCAGCCUGAUGAAAAGAGAUGCUGCAGGAGAGCCUUGCGUCCUAUUAGCUUGUUGGUGGGGUAACGGCCCACCAAGGCGAUGAUAGGUAGCCGGCCUGAGAGGGUGGACGGCCACAAGGGGACUGAGAUACGGCCCUUACUCCUACGGGAGGCAGCAGUGGGGAAUAUUGGACAAUGGGGGCAACCCUGAUCCAGCCAUUCUGUGUGCACGAUGAAGGUUUUCGGAUUGUAAAGUGCUUUCAGCAGGGAAGAAAAAAAUGACGGUACCUGCAGAAGAAGCGACGGCUAAAUACGUG